CUUUUCUCCAAAAAUCCGUCGAAGAAAACAAGAAGAACUCGAUCUGCUGAUUCUGAAUUUCGCUCUCAAUUGAUCGUAAUUUCAUUGAACCAUAUAGUUUACAAUAUCACUUGAUUCCCAAGCUAGGUUAGAGAACAAUUACUUGAUUUUAGCUCAAACUAAUUGCAAAAUCCCCAAAUCGAUUUGUCUCAAAAAAUUGAAAACUUGGGGAUUUUGAAUUGAAGUUUGAGAUUUCAAUUGAAAUCCAGAGUUGAAUCAGAUUAUUGGGUUGUCUGUUGAAGGACAAUUACUCGAUUUCAUUUGUAACUCAAUUGCAAAAUCCCCAAAUCGAUUUUUCUGAAAAAAUUGAAAUCUCAGGGAUUUUGAAUUGAGGUUUGAGAUUAAAAUCCAGAGUUGAAUCGCACGAUUAGGUUGUCCAUUUACACAGGCUGAUGCACUUAUGUUCAUAGGAAACUAAAUCUAGAACUGGGAACUGUGAAUGUCAGGCAAGGAUUGCGUUGAUCAUCUUUAAUUUGCUAUCUUUAAUUUACUUGAACUGAAUCUUGACGGAAAUUGGUGAAAGAUUGUUUCUGGGUCUGUAAAUUUUUCAGGUUUUUUCAGAAUUCAUAUGCUUUGAAUUAAUGUGUAUGUCUGUUUUUGCACGUUAGUGUGUUUGUUGUUGGUGGUCAGCUGUGGUGAUGGUGGCGGAUGUUUCAAAUGCAGAACUUAUUAUGGUUUUCCAAAUGUUAGGAACAUGAGCAAUACAUCUCAAGAAAAGGACCGAGUAUCAGAAAGCUUAGGCAAGCCACAUACACCGACACAUGCAUUGUAUUCUCUCACACAGGUAGUUUCAUGAUUGCAGGUACGAUGUUGCUAUGAAUAUGAACACUUAGAGGACUUUUCGACUUAUGACUUCGCAAAAAGGUGCAAGAAACUUCAACUGUUCUUGCAAGUAUCAACUGACAAGGUAGAAUCUUGGCAGAACCAUUUUCCAUCGGGGAUAGGCUAGCAAGGGAACAACUCACAUCUAAUACCCAUGCAAGAGCUCCACCCUUGCUAGAUAUUGAAGCUGAAAUGAAGUUGGCUUUGCAUUCAAAAGAGACUUUCCAAGAAAUUUUGAAUUGGGUUUAGAAAGGGCGAUUGGCAGGACACAUAUGUGCUCACGAAGGCCAUGAGAGAAAUGAUGAUCAACAGUAUGAGAGGGGAUAUACCUGUAGCCAUAAUACGUCCGAGUGUCAUUGGAAGUACUUACAAGGAACCUUUUCCAGGAUGGAUGGAAGGAAACAGGUGACUAGCUGCUGCUUCAAUUAUGCCUUACUAAUUGCAGCUUAUCAUGUUAUUUUGAGUAUGUGUUCCAUUUUUUUUGGACUCUAAGUAUAAGUGAAUUUCAGGAUAAUGGAUCCAGUAGUUUUAUACUACGGUAAAGGCUUUUAGUUGACCCAAAAAGAGUUCUUGAUGUGGUAUCUACUUUUACAUCUCAAAUUGUUGUCCAAAAAGUAGUUUUAAUUUAAUUCAUUAUUAAA